UGGAAUUAGUUGCAAAACCUCUCUAGAAGCUAUAAAAUCCCUCUAUACCUCUGUUUCAUAGAAAUGAUCUUCAAAAUUGGACCCUAACUGUCAUCAAAAGAAAUGAACAUAGCUGUUUUUCUGAAAAACUUGUGAAAAAUAGAAAUGUAGAAGUCAAGAAAUCUUUGCAGAUAACAUGUGAAAACCCCAACUACAGUGAGCCGACCAAGCACACAUCGCUGUAUAAGAACUGUAAGGAAAUAGUCAAACCUCCAAUGGUCCAGAAGGAUGCUGAAUUUGGAGAUGAGGGCUAUUACUCUUGUGUGUUUUCUCUCCGUCACAAUGGGAAACAGUACAACAUCACCAAGACCAUCAAUAUAACAGUUACUAAAGGGAACAGUAAAAUAACUCCAGCUAUUUUGGGACCAAAGUUUGACACUGUUAAAGUAGAACUCGG
rnacentral:lncRNA from 1 species